ACACCAUGGAAAUGGAACUCAAGAAAUAUUUGAGCAGAACAAAACAGUAAUUUUAUUUUUAUUUUUUUUAUUCGUGCAAUAAUUGAUACUACUUUCUUCAACUUGUUAAGGAUAUUAUUAUUAUAUGGUUAACUCCAUAUUCUGUAUUUUUUUUGGUUUAACCACAGAAAUAAUUUUUUUCUUGGUUAACCAAAAAGAGUUUGUGAUAUUUAAAAAAAACAUAAACACUAUAAGUGUUUCCUGGUAAUAAAUUGCAGGAGGCCAUGUAAAAUUAACUAUCAUUCAUUCUCCUAUAAAAAAAAAAUGAAACUCAACAUAAAUAUAAAACAAUAUAGUUGAUUAAUUUAUUUUAAAUCAUAAAUAACAUUGUAGAUUACUAUCUGACUAUUUCUGAUGAUACUGGUUUUAAUUGUUAUACGUGUUGUAUAUAUCCUUACAUAGACAUGAAGGUGGAAAAUUCUACCCUGGUACAAGCGUUGCCCAUGAGGUGGGGUCCAUGGGUGGAGAAGGGUAUUGUGUAAAUGUUCCAUGGAGUCAUGGAGGAGUUGGGGACCAUAGUCACAGGAUUCGCCAAAGUAGUCACGAUCCACGUUCCAAACGGCUCGAUCCCAAACGGGGUACGAUUGUGUAUCGAUCGCCGACAGAAACGCCCUCCGGUACGUCAUGCUUGCGAUCCCACCAAUUCUUUAAAUCGAUACCUGAAACGUGAAAUUGGCAAAUUGAAGCAAAUGCAGGGUUUCUUGUAAGAUGAGGGUGAAUGCAUCAGACAAACAAAUUUGACAUAUUAGUGCCUUGCAGCCUCUCAAAGUUCUUGCAUUCAGGUUAUUCUUUUAGAAAGAAAAUUGUCAAAGGUGAUUGUCAAAGGAGAAUUUAUUCAAGGGUUUCUUUUAAUGUUGUACAUGUUUUGUUUUCAAUAAUAAAUAUUAUGCAAUAUUAGCAAUGUGUUACAUUUACUUACUAUUGGAAUGAUUAUUUGUAUAUGACAUUAAAUUUUAUGAAAUGGAUUAUAUUUUUUGUA